CGCCCUUAUUAGAUACCCUGGGUAGUCCACGCAGUAAACGAUGAAUGCCGGCUGUUUGGGUUAAAUGAGACCUGAGCGGCGAAGCGAAAGCGAUAAGCAUUCCACCUGGGGAGUACGCCGGCAACGGUGAAACUCAAAGGAAUUGACGGGGGCCCGCACUAGCGGAGGAACAUGUGGUUUAAUUCGAUGAUACGCGAGGAACCUUACCCGGGCUCAAACGACACAGGAAUACUUUUGAAAGGAGGUAGCCAGCAAUGGUCUGUGUCGAGGUGCUGCAUGGUUGUCGUCAGCUCGUGCCGUGAGGUGUCGGCUUAAGUGCCAUAACGAGCGCAACCCCUGCCGGCAGUUGCUAACGGGUAAAGCCGAGGACUCUGCCGGGACUGCCGGCGCAAGCCGCGAGGAAGGCGGGGAUGACGUCAAAUCAGCACGGCCCUUACGUCCGGGGCGACACACGUGUUACAAUGGGUGGCACAGAGGGAAGCCAGGUGGCGACACCGAGCGGAACCCGAAAUCCACUCUCAGUUCGGAUCGGAGUCUGCAACCCGACUCCGUGAAGCUGGAUUCGCUAGUAAUCGCGCAUCAGCCAUGGCGCGGUGAAUACGUUCCCGGGCCUUGUACACACCGCCCGUCAAGCCAUGGGAGCCGAGGGCGCUUGAAGUGCGUCGCCGCGAGGCGCGCCCUAGAGCGAAAUCGGUGACUGGGGCUAAGUCGUAACAAGGUAAC
rnacentral:rRNA from 1 species